GGAUAACCUCAAUGACCUUCAGAUUCUGAACUUAGGUAUCCCCUCUGAGAAUUUAUCAGAAAAACAAGCAAUAAGUGAGACCAACGUUGUGAGGUAUUAACUCGGAACCGUCAUCUAUCCUUGUGGAGAAAAACCCGGAGGACUUGGAUUAGGACCCAAUAGUCUACCUUGGCGGCAGGCCUGGAUCUUGAGGAGGAAGGCACUUCUGAAAUAGCUGCAACUCCCGGCACAUUGUAGGGUUGAACUUCCCUGUUUGCAUUACAUAGGACUGGUCAUCUGACUGGCUGUGGCCAGUGAAAAUGUAGAUGAAAAUAGCCUGUAUCACCUCUGGACGAGUCAUUAGGAGUCAGUGUAUGAUUUGAUACAUUUCCUUCUCUCUGCCAUGGUGAUUGGUGAUGGAGGCUCUAUUAGUUUUUGUUCCUGAGUAAAGUAAUGUGGGUAUGAGUCCCUAGCUGACUUCCAAUACGAGUGAGAAAUAAACCUUAAUUGUUUUAAGCCUCCAAGCUUUGGAGUUUGUUGUACAGCCCACCAUGACAAAUAUACUUUUAGUCCUUUAUUUACAUGCUUUAAAAUACUGCUUGCAUUUUCUGAUUACCAUAUGUUCAUUGUGGAGAAUUUCAAAAAAUAUAAAAAAAAACCUUUGAAAUCACUUACAUAGAAAUAGUCUCUGUUAAUAUUUUGAUGUAUUGUCUUCCUCUCCCAAUUUAAAAAAUCAGGAUCCUAAUAUAUACGAUAUUGAUUUUUUCACUUCAUAUAUACUCUUAAAAUACAUGAAUUUGCUGCAUAUUAUUAAUUGAUGAGGAAGUGUUAUAAUCUAUUUUUAUAUUUAUGUUUUAUAUUUAUACUAUACAAUUCAUAAGAGUCACAUUUUAUUUUUGUACUUUUUCUUGUUGUAAAUAACAUUCCAAUGAAACUUUUGUGAUUAAGUCUUUGCUCAAAUUGCUGCUGCUGUCCUUGGAGUAGAUCCCUAGAAGGUGAACGACUAGGUCAAGGAGUAUGCAUACUUUUAAGAUUUUUGCUACCUAUUGCCAGGAGAAAGGUUAUACCAAUUAACACGUCAGC
rnacentral:lncRNA from 1 species